CCUACGGGAGGCAGCAGUGGGGAAUAUUGCACAAUGGGCGAAAGCCUGAUGCAGCAACGCCGCGUGAGUGAUGAAGGCCUUCGGGUUGUAAAGCUCUGUCUUCUGGGACGAUAAUGACGGUACCAGAGGAGGAAGCCACGGCUAACUACGUGCCAGCAGCCGCGGUAAUACGUAGGUGGCAAGCGUUGUCCGGAUUUACUGGGCGUAAAGGAUGCGUAGGCGGAUGCUUAAGUCAGAUGUGAAAAUCCCGAGCUUAACUUGGGAACUGCAUUUGAAACUGGGUAUCUAGAGUGCGGGAGAGGAGAGUGGAAUUCCUAGUGUAGCGGUGAAAUGCGUAGAGAUUAGGAAGAACACCAGUGGCGAAGGCGACUCUCUGGACCGUAACUGACGCUGAGGCAUGAAAGCGUGGGGAGCAAACAGGAUUAGAUACCCUGGUAGUCCACGCCGUAAACUAUGAAUACUAGGUGUGGGAGUUGUCAUGACUUCCGUGCCGCAGUUAACACAAUAAGUAUUCCGCCUGGGGAGUACGGUCGCAAGAAAAACUCAAAGGAAUUGACGG
rnacentral:rRNA from 1 species